GUCCCAGACUCCUACGGGAGGCAGCAGUGGGGAAUAUUGCACAAUGGGGGGAACCCUGAUGCAGCGACGCCGCGUGAGUGAAGAGGUCAUUCGUGAUGUAAAGCUCUAUCAGCAGGGAAGAAAAUGACGGUACCUGACUAAGAAGCCCCGGCUAACUACGUGCCAGCAGCCGCGGUAAUACGUAGGGGGCAAGCGUUAUCCGGAUUUACUGGGUGUAAAGGGAGCGUAGACGGCAGCGCAAGUCCGAAGUGAAAGCCCGGGGCCCAACCCCGGGACUGCUUUGGAAACUGUGAAGCUGGAGUGCGGGAGGGGCAGGCGGAAUUCCUGGUGUAGCGGUGAAAUGCGUAGAUAUCAGGAGGAACACCGGCGGCGAAGGCGGCCUGCUGGACCGUAACUGACGUUGAGGCUCGAAAGCGUGGGGAGCAAACAGGAUUAGAUACCCGAGUACC
rnacentral:rRNA from 1 species